AUGAAUGUCGCUCCCCCUCUUCGUGGAGGAACGACACUAAACCCUGCCUGGACUUCAUAUCUGAGUCACAGGUUUCCUAUCCGAGUCACGGCACCAUUAUGUCGCUCCCCCUCUUCGUGGAGGAACGACACUAAGCCCUGCCUAGGCUUCAUAUCCGAGUCACGGCACCAUUAUGUCGCUCCCCCUCUUCGUGGAGGAACGACACUAAACCCUGCCUGGGCUUCAUAUCUGAGUCACAGGUUUCCUAUCCGAGUCACGGCACCAUUAUGUCGCUCCCCCUCUUCGUGGAGGAACGACACUAAGCCCUGCCUAGGCUUCAUAUCCGAGUCACGGCACCAUUAUGUCGCUCCCCCUCUUCGUGGAGGAACGACACUAAACCCUGCCUGGGCUUCAUAUCUGAGUCACAGGUUUCCUAUCCGAGUCACGGCACCAUUAUGUCGCUCCCCCUCUUCGUGGAGGAACGACACUAAACCCUGCCUGGGCUUCAUAUCUGAGUCACAGGUUUCCUAUCCAAGUCACGGCACCAUUAUGUCGCUCCCCCUCUUCGUGGAGGAACGACACAGGACCCUGCGCUGUUCUUUCGUCUGCUCGGCCCUCCCCGGGUUUGCUGCUGGUUCUUCCCGGGUUGGCUACUAUCCCUUCCACCUCCGUGGAAGGGCAGUUCCCCCUGGCCACAUUCCCCACUUCUGCAGGGGAGCGGCACACCGCCGGCCGGCUCUCUCGGGGGCUGCACAGGUGUUCCCCUUAGAUGUUCCUCUUAGAUGUUCCUGGUGCAUGUUGUCUCUCUCCUCCUUUAUAGUCCUCUUCCACCAAUCCCAACUCGGCUGCCCACACGCCGAGUACGCUGCUCUCCUCCAAUCAGGAGCAAGUCCUACAGUUUAUUGGCUGAACUGGAGGCAGCUGUGUAGAAGCUGUUUUCUCUCCCAGCGCCAUAUUGUGGGAGAGCAGAUGCAUAGAAUAAGUCUUAAUUCCAGUAACAGUAUAGUCCGAGUUGCUCCCCACAGAUGA
rnacentral:lncRNA from 1 species